CCCUUAGAUGUUCUGGGCUGCACGCGCGCUACACUGAUGCAUCCAACAAGUUUUUUCUUUGUUCGAGAGGACUAGGUAAUCUUAUGAGAAUGCAUCGUGAUGGGGAUAGAUUAUUGCAAUUAUUAAUCUUCAACGAGGAAUUCCUAGUAAGCGCGAGUCAUCAGCUCGUGCUGAUUACGUCCCUGCCCUUUGUACACACCGCCCGUCGCUGCAACUGAUUGGGUGACCUGGUGAACAUCUUGGACCGGCCCACUCAAUUUCGAGAGGACUGGAAAAGGCCGUAAAUCAGGUACAUCUAGAAAUUGCAAAAGUCGUAACA
rnacentral:rRNA from 1 species